ensembl:lncRNA
AAAAAAACACUAUGGUAUUACCAUGAUACUACUACAGUACUUUUCUUCAUUUUUUUGACUUACAAAAAUGUAUUUUGGACAUUUUUACCAUGGUACUACCAGGGUGUUUUGAACAUAGAAGCAGGUAAUAUCAUGGUAUUUUGGACAAAUUACCAUGACAUUUAUACUUUAUGACAUGAUACUGCUGUGGUAUUUUGAACAUGGCACCAUGGUACUAUGAAAACUACUAUGGUAUUUUAGAAAUUUUACCAUGUUACUACCAUGGUAUAAAACAUGGAACCAUGGUAUUUUGGACAUUUUACCAUGCCAUUUGAUCAUGAUACCAUGAUACUUCUAUGGUAAUUUGAUCAAUUUACCAUGGGUCCGGUAUUUUGAACAUGGUACCAUGAUAUAACUAUGGCAUUUACUAUUCUGGACAUGGUACUACCAUGGCAUUGAACAAUAUACCAUGGUAUUUUUCCACAUUAUAUCAUGGCAAUACCAUGGUAUUCUGAUUAUGUCCCAUGGUAUUAAGAACACAUACCAUGUUCUUGGAAAUACCAUGAAGUACCAUACAGUAAAUACAAUGACACAUGAAUUCCAGUACCAUGGUAUAUUUUAAAACUACCAUAGUAUUUAUCUCUAAUGUACCAUGUACAGUACAUUUUGUAAGGGUUCUAUCCUCUCUCUUUCUCACCAUGUAUAUGUGUGUAUGUACGCAUUCGCAUGAGUGCAUCUGAACGUUUCCCAGAAUCCCAGCAGAUCAAACAAAAGUCAGCUUUAAACAGUUGAGAUGAAACGGCAAUCAUUAAAUAAUACAGAAAAUCGACCAGUAUGAUAAGAAUCAGAGCAUAAAAUAUGAGAUGGCGGUGGGCAGAGGCAUUAAGGACUCGCCAAGUGCAAAAGUAAACAGAGACAGCCGCGGCCCAUGCACAUUCUGAUUGGUUGUUGGAGCGCUGGCAUGGUGGAUGAGGUCAGGUUGGGCAUCCAAUUGGCAUCUAUGUUCCAGUUCAAAUCUAGCUCAGCAAAAUGACUGUCGCCAUCUCAUAGCGGCUGAGAUGAGAGAUUAAAGCGGUAAAUGAUCCGAAUUACUGUCUGUGACUGUUUUUCAAACGUGAAUCACUCUAAACUGACCAGCAAUGUUGCUAUUAGGGAUGUGCAAAACUACAUAUUUUCAAAUUCAAGUAAACGGUGGGUCGUCUGAAUGACUCGUCGACUAGUUAGGGUCAAACGUAAGGCUGAAAAUCUCUGAUUGCAUGUACACUACCAUUCAAACGUCUUGGGUUAAGAUUUUUUUGUAAUGUUUAUCACCAAGGCUGCAUUUAUAUGAUAAAAAUACAAUAGAAAUAGUAUUUUGAAAUAACUUAAAAUUUGUAAUUAUUUGUUAAAAUUAUUUCUAUUUAAAUAUAUAUUAAAAUGAAAUUUAUUUCUGUGAUGUAAAGUUGAAUUUUCAGCAUCAUUACUUCAGUCUUCAGUGUCACAUGAUCCUUCAGAAAUCAUUCCAAUAUGCUGAUUUGAUGCUGAAGAAACAUUUCUUAUUAUUAUCAGUGCUGAAAACAGUUGUGCUGCUUAAAAUAUUUGCUGUGGAAACCGUUAGAAUUUUUUUUUUAAAUUCUUCAAUGAAAAGGAAGUUCAAAAGAACAUCGAAACUAUUUGAAACAGAAAACAUUUGUGAUAUUAUAAAUGACAUUAUAUAGCCAGUUUCUGCCACAGAAUAAAAUAAAAAAAAAUAAAAAAGGUAAUUACAACUUUUUCUCUUAGAAUUGUGAGGCAAACUCAGAAUUGCAAGAAAUUGUGAGAUAAAAAGUCGAUUUUUUUUUUAUUCUGUGAAGCAAAAAAAGGGAAAAAAAGGGAACUGUGAGAUGUAAACUCAAAACUGAGAGAGAAAAUGUGGAAUUCCAAGUUUGUAUUUCACAGUUUAGACUUUUUCCUCAAAACUGCAAGAAACAGUCCAAAUUAUGAUAAACUUAGAAUUGAGAAAAACAGCUUGAAUUUUUUAUUUUUUUUAUUUUACAGUAUAAAUUUUUUUAUUCAGUGGUGUAAAAUGUAAAAAAAAAAUGAAUGACCCCAAACUUUUGAAUGGUAGUGUAAAAUAAUAUAUUCACCUGACUUCAAUUUCCUUAAAAGUGGUGAAUUAGUUUUUCGAUGGAAUCGGUGGUGAAAUAAAUGCAAUUAAAGAUGCAACUUCUCAGAGAGAGCAUUUCAUCAUGCUGAAAAUUAAAAUUCAAAUGAUCAUGCUUAAACUCAGUGUUCUAAAAUGUUCACUGAGAAGUUGUCUCUAAAUUCAUCCCCUUUAAACUGCAACAAAAAUAUUUAAUCUUAAAAAAAAAAAAAACUUACUAUUUGAACUAAUUUUAGGAUGUCUAGUCGACUAGUUAAUCAUGCUGUGAGAAAAAUGUCAAAUGGACGAUCAUGCGACGCGUGUGUUUAAUUCACUAAGAAGCUAAUCUGUUGUUGUGUGUUUGGUGGAAGAACAGUGAGUCUGGUCUCUCUCUGAACGUUUUCUGUCUAACUGACAGAACUUGUGGUGCUAACUGGACCUACACUGGUGAGCGUCAUCCUGUAAUCUUUUGGUGCUGUUAUUAUUUUAGACAUUAUGGAUUUACACUUGAUUUGAUGAUGGUCCGUGAAGGAGUAAUGUAUUCACGCUCAUGUAGCACUAGUCGAGAUGGUGCAUGGAUUCAUAGUUUAGCGUGUUAAAGGCUCGCUUAUAUUUCCUGUGUGUUCUGUGAAGGCCUUAAGCUUCAGCUAAGUCAGGUGUCAAAGGUCGAGCCGCCCAUCGGCUACAUGUUGGUGCUAGACCCUGAUUCAUGUUUACAGUUUCUGUAACUUCUUCUGUAGCAAAGAUGUGGUUUUCUGUUUGCUUUGCAACAUUUAUUCUCCAGAUUAACAUCAGUUCCUCCAACUCAUUAGCAUCUUUGCUAAUCUCAGUCAUCCUCAUUGUCAUGUGUAUCGUCUUGCCAUCCUGAUUAUGUUAAACGAUUCCAAAUGAAGGAAAUAAAUGUCCGAAAAACAUGUUUAUACUUUUUCAUUCUGUCUGUAUCCCUGUAUUUGUGAUGUAUCUGUUGACGAUCCAUUUCAUUGAUCAAUAAACUCAUUUGAACAUAUUUCCCGUGAGCAUUUUUGUAUUCAUUUACCUGUACCAUCAUCAUGUUUCCUCAUGUUCAGUCCAUUGUGGUUUAUUCAUUAUGGAUCAUUCCUAGUCCAAACAUCACUCAACUACUGCUGCACUUUUAGAGCUGUGCUAACAUAAAUGGGAAAAACUAAGCUAAAAUACAUUUUCAUGAAUCCAAAAUUAAGUAAAAUAAAAAUCUACACAAAUUAAUGAAAAAAAAAUGUAAUAAAUAAAUACAGUAUACAGAAUCUCGGCAUCUAGAUUAUAGUGUAAACAUAACGAUAAACAUGAUAAUGUAACAAUAAUUAAACUAAAUAAAAAAGUAAAAUAUUUUGAAAUAAAAAAAACUAAAUUAAACACUAUAAAAAAGCUUUAUAUGAUAACAAAAAUAUAAGUAUAAAACAUUUAUUUAAAAAACUACAUCAGAUUAUAACCAAAUAAUAGCAUACAAUGAACUAUAAAAAAACUAUAAAAACAAACUGACAAAUAAAAACUAAAUUAAAUUUCAAAACUAAUAUAUUUUAUAUGAGAACAUAAAAUAUAAGCAAAAAAAAAUAGAAAACUGAAAAUAAAUA